UCCGGGGGGGCACAGCACAGGAACGCGGCGAGUGAAGCGGCAAAAGCUCAAUUUUGAAAUCCCCCCGGGGAGUUGUAAUUUGAAGACUAGGGGAUUUGGCCCAAACCUGCGCAAGUCCAUUGAAACAUGGCGCCCAAGAGGAAGAGAGCCCCGUCGCGCAGCCCGCAGCCUUGACAUCCCCCCGUCAAAGAGUCGAGUUGUUUGGGAAUGCAGCUCAAAGUGGGUGGUAAAUUCCAUCUAAAGCUAAAUAUUGGCGAGAGACCGAUAGCGAACAAGUACAGUGAUGGAAAGAUGAAAAGCACUUUGAAAAGAGAGUGAAACAGUACGUGAAAUUGUUGAAAGGGAAGGGCUUGCAAGCAGACACGAGUUCGCUCGGGCCAGCAUCAAUUUCGCGAGGUGGACAACACGCCAGGAAUGUGGCAGGCUCCGGCCUGUGUUAUAGCCUGCGCGCCAUACACCUCCGCGAGAUUGAGGCCUGCUCCAAAAGGAUGCUGGCGUAAUGGUUGCAAGUCGCCCGCUGAAAAACGGGGCCCAAAUAAACCCCCCCCCCCCUGGU
rnacentral:rRNA from 1 species